UACAGAGGGGGCAAGCGUUGUUCGGAAUUACUGGGCGUAAAGAGCGCGCAGGCGGUCGUUCAAGUCGCGUGUGAAAGCCCCCGGCUCAACUGGGGAGGGUCACGCGAUACUGAUCGACUCGAAGGCAGGAGAGGGAAGUGGAAUUCCCGGUGUAGUGGUGAAAUGACGUAGAUAUCGGGAGGAACACCAGUGGCGAAGGCGACUUCCUGGCCUGUUCUUGACGCUGAGGCGCGAAAGCUAGGGGAGCAAACGGG
rnacentral:rRNA from 1 species